rnacentral:rRNA from 1 species
GCUGGCGGCACGCCUAAUACAUGCAAGUCGAACGAGGUAGCAAUACCUAGUGGCAGACGGGUGAGUAACAUGUGGGUACCUUCCCUUUGGUGAGGAAUAACACGAGGAAACUUGUGCUAAUACCUCAUAAGUCUUUACAGAGAAAGCUUUAUGCGCCAAUGGAUGGGCCCGCACUUGAUUAGUUAGUUGGUAGGGUAAUGGCUUACCAAGACUUUGAUCAAUAGCUGAUUUGAGAGGAUGAUCAGCCACAUUGGGACUGAGACACGGCCCAAACUCCUACGGGAGGCAGCAGUAGGGAAUCUUGCACAAUGGAGGAAACUCUGAUGCAGCGAUGCCGCGUGAGUGAAGAAGGCCCUUGGGUUGUAAAGCUCUUUCGUCGGGGAAGAAAAUGACUGUACCCGAAUAAGAAGGUCCGGCUAACUUCGUGCCAGCAGCCGCGGUAAUACGAAGGGACCUAGCGUAGUUCGGAAUUACUGGGCUUAAAGAGUUCGUAGGUGGUUAAAAAAGUUGGUGGUGAAAUCCCAGAGCUUAACUCUGGAACUGCCAUCAAAACUUUUUAGCUAGAGUAUGAUAGAGGAAAGCAGAAUUUCUAGUGUAGAGGUGAAAUUCGUAGAUAUUAGAAAGAAUACCGAUUGCGAAGGCAGCUUUCUGGAUCAUUACUGACACUGAGGAACGAAAGCAUGGGUAGCGAAGAGGAUUAGAUACCCUCGUAGUCCAUGCCGUAAACGAUGUGUGUUAGAUGUUGGAAAUUUAUUUUCAGUAUCGCAGCGAAAGCGUUAAACACACCGCCUGGGGAGUACGACCGCA